rnacentral:rRNA from 1 species
UAGUGGGAGGCAGCAGGUGGGGAAUUAUUGCAACAAGUGGGACGAAAGCCUGAUGCAGCUAUGCCGCGUGUAUGAAGAAGGCCUUAGGGUUGUAAAGUACUUUCAUCGGGGAAGGAAAAAACAAAACUAAUAAUUUUUAUUUCUUGUACGUUAACCCGAAAAAGAAGCACCGGCUAACUCCGUGCCAGCAGCCGCGGUAAUACGGAGGGUGCUAGCGUUAAUCAGAAUUACUGGGCGUAAAGAGCACGUAGGUGGUUUUUUUAAGUCAGAUGUGAAAUCCCUGGGCUUAACCUGGAACUGCAUUUUGAAACUGAAAUACUAGAGUAUCGUAGAGGGAGGUAGAAUUCUAGUGUAGCGGUGAAAUGCGUAGAUAUCUGGAGGAAUACCUGUGGCGAAAGCGGCCUCCUAAACCGAAUACUGACACUGAGGUGCGAAAGCGUGGGGAGCAACGAGGAUUAGAUACC